rnacentral:rRNA from 1 species
UACAGAGGGGGCAAGCGUUGUUCGGAAUUACUGGGCGUAAAGGGCGCGUAGGCGGCCUUCUAAGUCGAACGUGAAAUCCCCGGGCUCAACCCGGGAACUGCGUCCGAUACUGGAAGGCUUGAAUCCGGGAGAGGGAUGCGGGAAUUCCAGGUGUAGCGGUGAAAUGCGUAGAUAUCGGGAGGAACACCAGUGGCGAAGGCGACUUUCUGGCCUGUUCGUUGACGCUGAGGCGCGAAAGCCAGGGGAGCAAACGGG